CUUAAAUUGAAGAGUUUGAUCAUGGCUCAGAUUGAACGCUGGCGGCAGGCCUAACACAUGCAAGUCGAGCGGAAACGAGUUAUCUGAACCUUCGGGGAACGAUAACGGCGUCGAGCGGCGGACGGGUGAGUAAUGCCUAGGAAAUUGCCCUGAUGUGGGGGAUAAC
rnacentral:rRNA from 1 species